rnacentral:rRNA from 1 species
UACGAAGGGGGCGAGCGUUGUUCGGAUUUACUGGGCGUAAGGGCGCGCAGGCGGCUCAUUUUGUUAGGCGUGAAAGCCCCGGGCUUAACCUGGGAACUGCGUUUGAUACGGAUGGGCUAGAGUUCGGGAGAGGAGAGUGGAAUUCCCAGUGUAGAGGUGAAAUUCGUAGAUAUUGGGAAGAACACCGGUGGCGAAGGCGGCUCUCUGGACCGAGACUGACGCUGAGGCGCGAAAGCGUGGGGAGCAAACAGG